rnacentral:rRNA from 1 species
UAAACUAGGAAUUAGAUACCCUAUUAUACUAGUGUGUGAAAUGAUUUGCUUGGGUAGUAAUUAGUUAUGGUCUUUAAAUCUAAAGGAUUUGGCGGUGUCCCAGUCUAGUUAGAGGAACCUGCACUUUAAACGAUAUUCCACGAAGUAUCUUACUUUAUUUUGUUUAUCAAUCUAUAUAUCGUCAUUAUAAAAUAAUAUUAAAAAUUAUUUAUUGUAAUAGGAAGUUUUUAAUAUAUUAGAUCAAGGUGUAGUCAAUAGUAGAGUAGUUGUGGGUUACAAUAUAUUAUAUAUACUACGGAUUAGGCUUAGAAGUAGGCCCAGGAAGGUGGAUUUAAUAGUAAGUGUGUUUUAAUAUGGCAUGUUGAUAAAAGCUCUGGGACAUGUACACAUCCCCCCGCUCUAAA